UGCAAGUCGAGCGGAAACGAGUUAUCUGAACCUUCGGGGAACGAUAACGGCGUCGAGCGGCGGACGGGUGAGUAAUGCCUAGGAAAUUGCCCUGAUGUGGGGGAUAACCAUUGGAAACGAUGGCUAAUACCGCAUGAUGCCUACGGGCCAAAGAGGGGGACCUUCGGGCCUCUCGCGUCAGGAUAUGCCUAGGUGGGAUUAGCUAGUUGGUGAGGUAAGGGCUCACCAAGGCGACGAUCCCUAGCUGGUCUGAGAGGAUGAUCAGCCACACUGGAACUGAGACACGGUCCAGACUCAUACGGGAGGCAGCAGUGGGGAAUAUUGCACAAUGGGCGCAAGCCUGAUGCAGCCAUGCCGCGUGUGUGAAGAAGGCCUUCGGGUUGUAAAGCACUUUCAGUCGUGAGGAAGGUAGUGUAGUUAAUAGCUGCAUUAUUUGACGUUAGCGACAGAAGAAGCACCGGCUAACUCCGUGCCAGCAGCCGCGGUAAUACGGAGGGUGCGAGCGUUAAUCGGAAUUACUGGGCGUAAAGCGCAUGCAGGUGGUUUGUUAAGUCAGAUGUGAAAGCCCGGGGCUCAACCUCGGAAUAGCAUUUGAAACUGGCAGACUAGAGUACUGUAGAGGGGGGUAGAAUUUCAGGUGUAGCGGUGAAAUGCGUAGAGAUCUGAAGGAAUACCGGUGGCGAAGGCGGCCCCCUGGACAGAUACUGACACUCAGAUGCGAAAGCGUGGGGAGCAAACAGGAUUAGAUACCCUGGUAGUCCACGCCGUAAACGAUGUCUACUUGGAGGUUGUGGCCUUGAGCCGUGGCUUUCGGAGCUAACGCGUUAAGUAGACCGCCUGGGGAGUACGGUCGCAAGAUUAAAACUCAAAUGAAUUGACGGGGGCCCGCACAGCGGUGGAGCAUGUGGUUUAAUUCGAUGCAACGCGAAGAACCUUACCUACUCUUGACAUCCAGAAGAACUUUUCCAGAGAUGAUUGUGCCUUCGGAAACCUCUGAGAACGGUGCUGCAUGGCUGUCGUCACUUCGUGUUGGUGAAAUGUUCGGCUUAAG
rnacentral:rRNA from 1 species